rnacentral:rRNA from 1 species
UACGUAGGGGGCAAGCGUUGUCCGGAAUCAUUGGGCGUAAAGAGCGUGUAGGCGGCCCGGUAAGUCCGCCGUGAAAGUCCAGGGCUCAACCCUGGAAUGCCGGUGGAUACUGUCGGGCUAGAGUCCGGAAGGGGCGAGUGGAAUUCCUGGUGUAGCGGUGAAAUGCGCAGAUAUCAGGAGGAACACCGAUGGCGAAGGCAGCUCGCUGGGACGGUACUGACGCUGAGACGCGAAAAGCGUGGGGAGCAAAACAGG